rnacentral:rRNA from 1 species
GAUGAACGCUGGCGGCGUGCCUAAUACAUGCAAGUCGAGCGAAUGGAUUGAGAGCUUGCUCUUAUGAAGUUAGCGGCGGACGGGUGAGUAACACGUGGGUAACCUGCCCAUAAGACUGGGAUAACUCCGGGAAACCGGGGCUGAUACCGGAUAACAUUUUGAACCGCAUGGUUCGAAAUUGAAAGGCGGCUUCGGCUGUCACUUAUGGAUGGACCCGCGUCGCAUUAGCUAGUUGGUGAGGUAACGGCUCACCAAGGCAACGAUGCGUAGCCGACCUGAGAGGGUGAUCGGCCACACUGGGACUGAGACACGGCCCAGACUCCUACGGGGGGAAGCAGUAGGGAAUCUUCCGCAAUGGACGAAAGUCUGACGGAGCAACGCCGCGUGAGUGAUGAAGGCUUUCGGGUCGUAAAACUCUGUUGUUAGGGAAGAACAAGUGCUAGUUGAAUAAGCUGGCACCUUGACGGUACCUAACCAGAAAGCCACGGCUAACUACGUGCCAGCAGCCGCCGUAA